GAAAUUCAAUGAUUGACCUCGGAUCAGGUAGGGAUACCCGCUGAACUUAA
rnacentral:rRNA from 1 species